CCACUUGGCACAAGCAGAUCCAAGACCAAAUACAUUAACAUUGUCAUAUCCAUUACCAUGAUAAAAUCUUCCGAGAGUUGUCGUGGAAGAAAUGAAUAAGUGACACCCAAGUCCAAGAGAAAGAGUAUUCACAGUCGAAUGCUGAGGCCAGUAUCCAGAGCAUUUGAGAUGGAGUUUGACUUGAAUAAGGCUCUUGAGGAUGUGCCUGUACACAUAGAAGACCCUUCCCCACCCCCUAAGAUGGAAAAAAAGCCGUUCACAACUAUGGGGGAACUUCCAUCUGAGGAAUGCAGAAAGCUACAACACUACACCAAAUUGCGGCCCAGAAGAAAUAAAAAGACACAUUCCAGGAAGAUUCC